GAAUAUUGGACAAUGGGCGAAAGCCUGAUCCAGCAAUGCCGCGUGAGUGAUGAAGGCCUUAGGGUCGUAAAGCUCUUUUACCAGGGAUGAUAAUGACAGUACCUGGAGAAUAAGCUCCGGCUAACUCCGUGCCAGCAGCCGCGGUAAUACGGAGGGAGCUAGCGUUGUUCGGAAUUACUGGGCGUAAAGCGCGCGUAGGCGGUUACCCAAGUCAGAGGUGAAAUCCCGGAGCUCAACUCCGGAACUGCCUUUGAAACUAUGUAACUAGAAUCUUGGAGAGGCGAGUGGAAUUCCGAGUGUAGAGGUGAAAUUCGUAGAUAUUCGGAAGAACACCAGUGGCGAAGGCGACUCGCUGGACAAGUAUUGACGCUGAGGUGCGAAAGCGUGGGGAGCAAACAG
rnacentral:rRNA from 1 species